rnacentral:rRNA from 1 species
CCUACGGGGGGCUGCAGUGGGGAAUAUUGCACAAUGGGGGAAACCCUGAUGCAGCGACGCCGCGUGAGUGAAGAAGCGUUUCGGCGCGUAAAGCUCUGUCAGCGGGGAAGAAACACGGUUCGCGAGAGCCGCGGACGGUACCCGACCAAGAAGCCCCGGCUAAAUACGUGCCAGCAGCCGCGGUAAUACGUAUGGGGCAAGCGUUAUCCGGAUUUACUGGGUGUAAAGGGAGCGCAGGCGGCCUGCCAAGUCUGGUGUGAAAACCCGGGGCCCAACCCCGGGCCUGCAUUGGAAACUGGCGGGCUGGAGUGUCGGAGGGGCAGGCGGAAUUCCUAGUGUAGCGGUGAAAUGCGUAGAUAUUAGGAGGAACACCGGUGGCGAAGGCGGCCUGCUGGACGAUGACUGACGCUGAGGCUCGAAAGCGUGGGGAGCAAACAGGAUUAGAUACCCUGGUAGUC